rnacentral:rRNA from 1 species
GAGUUUGAUCCUGGCUCAGAACGAACGCUGGCGGCAUGCCUCAUACAUGCAAGUCGAACGAAGCCUUCGGGCUUAGUGGCGAACGGGUGCGUAACGCGUGGGAACCUGCCCUUAGGUUCGGAAUAACAGUUAGAAACGACUGCUAAUGCCGGAUAAUGUCUUCGGACCAAAGAUUUAUCGCCUUUGGAUGGGCCCGCGUAGGAUUAGCUAGUUGGUGUGGUAAUGGCGCACCAAGGUGACGAUCCUUAGCUGGUCUGAGAGGAUGAUCAGCCACACUGGGACUGAGACACGGCCCAGACUCCUACGGGAGGCAGCAGUAGGGAAUAUUGGACAAUGGGCGAAAGCCUGAUCCAGCAAUGCCGCGUGAGUGAUGAAGGCCUUAGGGUUGUAAAGCUCUUUUACCAGGGAUGAUAAUGACAGUACCUGGAGAAUAAGCUCCGGCUAACUCCGUGCCAGCAGCCGCGGUAAUACGGAGGGAGCUAGCGUUGUUCGGAAUUACUGGGCGUAAAGCGCGCGUAGGCGGCUUUUCAAGUCAGGGGUGAAAUCCCGGGGCUCAACCCCGGAACUGCCCUUGAAACUGGAUGGCUAGAAUACUGGAGAGGUGAGUGGAAUUCCGAGUGUAGAGGUGAAAUUCGUAGAUAUUCG